ACUGGCUCUAUCCCAAAUGAAGUGUUUUUGAUGGCCCUACUUCCCCCUGAUUCACCCUCUUCAUCUUUGCAUGGGUAGAUCCUGCCAGCAAAGAACUGUUUGUCUCUUGCAUCUUGGCCUCGCUCUAGGACUCCUGUCUGCCUCCUUUCCCAUCCUGCAUUCCUGGGAACAGCAGAACUGGAAAACCAGGCCUGCAGGGAGCAGAUAGAAGAUAACCUUUUUCCUGCUGCCCAGCGUCCUUAUCUGCUGCAGACAGCCUGGCAAGAUGAACCGGAAAGCUGAGACCUUAUCUCUGCCUCUCAAGGAGCUUAUUUAAGUGCCGGAAUGUGUCAGAUGGUCUUCCUUUAAAAACAUCUCCUUAUAUUUGGAUGAUACAUCAUCAUAAAUGGGAUUACAGAGAACUGCCAGAGCUACUCAUGUCGUCUUUCCUGCUUCAUAUGUAUGACAGCUAAAAUCUCUCAUGUUCUUGCUGACUGGCUUUUGGGUCCUAAGGCCCUCUUCACUUAGUCGCGGGCUUGAAUUUCUCUGUAACCAUCUAAGACGAGCUAAUGAAGUCAGCGUAGGCAUGGGGCGCUUGCUGAUUUAGACACAACUGAAUCUGAAAUGGAUUUUCAUGCUUCAGGGCCUAAACCAGCUCCUGCCUCGUGGGAUUUGAAAGAACAUUCUUCCACGGACGGGUUACCCUUCAUCUGUUCCCUCCUUGCUUCUUCUGCAACAGCUGAUGUUGGCUGCUGUCUCAAUGGAGACUAAAAGGACCGUGGCAUGAUGCAAUAAAGUAAAUGCAUAUUUUGUAUGCAUUUUUGGAUGGGGAAGAGACCGGGAUAGCUUUGCUUUUUCCUGAUGGGCUAUGUGAAUGAACACCAGGGCAGUAAGGCCUUGUCUUAUGCUGCAGGUUUUAGACUGCUGAAAAUCACUCCACAUGAUGCAAGCUGCGGCCGGGGAUUUAUAGAUGUUAAACAGAUGUUUGAGGAAGCUGUACAAUAUAAUGGUAAUUCUGUUAUUUCUAGGAAAUAGAGCACAAGGUGUUUCUGCAGAUAUAUAUUCUAUGCAAAUGCUGAAAGACCUCUGAAAUGGUUAUUUUCUGUUUCACAGGAUCUUCCAUUGGAUCAGCUUUUUGGAAUAGGUCAGAAAACAGAGUAGGAUUCCUACUAAAAUGGGUCGUGCAUAGAGCCGUGCAAUGAACUUCAUCCACGUGAAACCUGUUCUUCAAUUUUUGCCCAAAUUUCUUCUAUCUGUGCGCACUGCUCCCACACAGCUCAUUGCAAGUCUAGCUCCACUGAUUCUAGUCUUACACCAGUUGUUCUGGUUUAUACACAGGCCAGUAAAAUGUGAGGUGGGGUCUUAGAGCAGCAUAGGAAUUCAUCACCCUUUGCCAAAGGCUGGUUCUAUCUUCAUGGACCAGGAAUGUAAUGGAUCCACCCUCUCCCAUUUGCUGGCAGGGACAGAACUGAAAGAACAGAAAAUGGGUUUUUUUUCAAAUGAUUGACAGUUCUAUACAGAGAAAAGCCCAGUCUCAGUGUGUUCCUAUACCAUAAGACUCUACGUAGCUCCAUGGAGGUGACUGACCCAAAGGAAAAGCUGUGAGUUAGAGUGCGAGGGCUGUAACAUAACCACAGUAAUGAAUGUACAAUUGUCUGGCAUUUGUUUAUUUUUUCAUCUUGAUCUUCACACUGGGUUGUAUUGUUUUCACCUUUAAUUAGCACAUCUAUUCCCUUGGCCUUAGAUUGUUGCCUCAGAGAUGCACAACAGACCUUUGGAGACCUGCUCAUUAGAGCAGCAGGUGUGCGUGGAGCCAACCUGGACAAGCCUCUGUGAGUCACCUGCUGAUGAUUUGGGUUAUUGAUGGCUACAUGAGUGUAUGAAAGUGAGCGGACGCCA